rnacentral:rRNA from 1 species
UGGGGAAUUUUCCGCAAUGGGCGAAAGCCUGACGGAGCAAUACCGCGUGAGGGAGGAAGGCUCUUGGGUUGUAAACCUCUUUUCUUAGGGAAGAAGCAAGUGACGGUACCUAAGGAAUAAGCAUCGGCUAACUCCGUGCCAGCAGCCGCGGUAAUACGGAGGAUGCAAGCGUUAUCCGGAAUUAUUGGGCGUAAAGCGUCCGUAGGUGGUUUUUCAAGUCUGCUGUCAAAGACCGUGGCUUAACCACGGAAAGGCAGUGGAAACUGAGAGACUAGAGUUCGGUAGGGGUAGCGGGAAUUCCCAGUGUAGCGGUGAAAUGCGUAGAUAUUGGGAAGAACAUCGGUGGCGAAGGCGCGCUACUGGACCGAAACUGACACUCAGAGGACGAAAGCUAGGGGAGCGAAAG